rnacentral:rRNA from 1 species
UACGUAGGGGGCAAGCGUUGUCCGGAUUUAUUGGGUGUAAAGAGCGUGUAGGCGGUUUGGUAGGUCCGUUGUGAAAACUCGAGGCUCAACCUCGAGACGCCGGCGGAAACCAUCAGGCUAGAGUCCGGAAGAGGAGAGUGGAAUUCCUGGUGUAGCGGUGAAAUGCGCAGAUAUCAGGAAGAACACCCGUGGCUAAGGCGGCUCUCUAGUACGGUACUGACGCUGAGACGCGAAAGCGUGGGGAGCGAACAGG